UAGGGAAUCUUCCGCAAUGGGCGAAAGCCUGACGGAGCAACGCCGCGUGAGUGAUGAAGGUCUUCGGAUCGUAAAACUCUGUUAUUAGGGAAGAACAAAUGUGUAAGUAACUAUGCACGUCUUGACGGUACCUAAUCAGAAAGCCACGGCUAACUACGUGCCAGCAGCCGCGGUAAUACGUAGGUGGCAAGCGUUAUCCGGAAUUAUUGGGCGUAAAGCGCGCGUAGGCGGUUUUUUAAGUCUGAUGUGAAAGACCACGGCUCAACCGUGGAGGGUCAUUGGAAGCUGGAAAACUUGAGUGCAGAAGAGGAAAGUGGAAUUCCAUGUGUAGCGGUGAAAUGCACAGAGAUAUGGAGGAACACCAGUGGCGAAGGCGACUUUCUGGUCUGUAACUGACGCUGAUGUGCGAAAGCGUGGGGAUCAAACAGG
rnacentral:rRNA from 1 species